GCGGCUACUAGGUCCAUCUCCACUGCCACAUCACCAGCUUCCAAUCUUUCCAAAAUGAUGUCUGGCAGGCUCUUAAACGGCACCAUCAUUUUCGGAAACCGAGGAUCAUUUGGUGUUAACAAGAGAUAUUGACAGUUCAAGGCAGUCGAUAAAUAUUUAUUCUUCUUCAAGUCCUUUUUGUUAGCUUCUCUACUCCACAUCCACUUCUUGACAUUGAGAAAACCGACAAUAGUGUCCCGACGAGGUGACCCCUCAAGGAUAGCCACAACCCUGCCUGUUGGUCGUUUAGAUGGGAAUGAAUCCACAGCAGCUGACAAUCUCUCUGUUGCAUGCAUAGCAUCAUUAAUUUCACUAUAGCACCCAACCAUAGAAGGUUUCAGAGCAGUCAUAUUAUGUCUAUUGACAUAAUCAUUCUCCGCAGGUACCUUUUCU
rnacentral:misc_RNA from 1 species